GACGAACGCUGGCGGCGUGCUUAACACAUGCAAGUCGAACGAUGAAGAAGAGAAACGCGAACUUCGGUUCAAAUUUCACUUCGGAUUAGUGGCAGACGGGUGAGUAACGCGUGAGCAACCUACCUCUUACAAAGGGAUAGCCUCGGGAAACCGUGAUUAAUACCAUAUGACACAUUCAUAAGGCAUCUUAAGAAUGUUAAAGCUACGGCGGUACGAGAUGGGCUCGCGUCCCAUUAGCUAGUUGGUGAGGUAACGGCCCACCAAGGCGACGAUGGGUAACCGGCCUGAGAGGGUGAACGGUCACAUUGGAACGGAGACACGGUCCAAACUCCUACGGGAGGCAGCAGUGGGGAAUAUUGCACAAUGGAGGGAACGCUGAUGCAGCGACGCCGCGUGAGCGAUGAAGGAAUUCGUUUCGUAAAGCUCUGUUCUAUGGGAAGAAAAGGACGGUACCAUAGGAGAAAGCCCCGGCUAAAUACGUG
rnacentral:rRNA from 1 species